UACGAAGGGUGCAAACGUUGCUCGGAAUUAUUGGGCGUAAAGCGCACGUAGGCGGCAUUGCAAGUCCCAUGUGAAAUCCCACGGCUUAACCGUGGAAGUGCAUGGGAAACUGCAGUGCUUGAGUACUUAAGAGGAUCGCGGAAUUCCCGGUGUAGAGGUGAAAUUCGUAGAUAUCGGGAGGAACACCAGUGGCGAAGGCGGCGAUCUGGGAAGAUACUGACGCUGAGGUGCGAAAGCGUGGAGGGCAAACAGG
rnacentral:rRNA from 1 species